CAUUAGAUUACUAAAAGUUAGUAUUGGUCUCUUAAACCAUUUUAUAAUAGAUUCACGCCUAUUUCUAAUGA
rnacentral:tRNA from 1 species